rnacentral:rRNA from 1 species
UACGACUACAUAUCAGGCAUAUCAAUAAGCGGAGGAAAAGAAACUAACUAGGAUUCCCUCAGUAACGGCGAGUGAAGCGGGAAGAGCUCAAAUUUGAAAUCUUCAAGGUUCUACCUUGACGAAUUGUAGUUUAAAGAAGUGUUUUCUGUUGGAGUUUUGGUAAAAGUUCUUUGGAAUAGGACAUCAUAGAGGGUGAGAAUCCCGUAUUUGACCAUUAUUUCCAGCUUUGUGAUACACUUUCAAAGAGUCGGAUUGUUUGGGAAUGCAGUCCAAAAUGGGUGGUAAAUUUCAUCUAAAGCUAAAUAUUGGCGAGAGACCGAUAGCGAACAAGUACCGUGAGGGAAAGAUGAAAAGAACUUUGAAAAGAGAGUUAAACAGUACGUGAAAUUGUCAAAAGGGAAGCGUUUGACACCAGUGUUGUUUUUCCGAAAAUCAAUUAAAAAUUGAUUCAUGCCAGGUUGUAUUGACCUUAUCAGCUUGCAAUUUGGUUUUGGGUCUCUUUUUGAUGCACUUUUCGGUUAACAAGUCAACAUCAAUUUCCUUUGCUGUAAAAAGGUAAGAGGAAGGUGGCUUCAAUUUCGGUUGAAGUGUUUAUAGCCUUUUAUCUCUGCAGUCGGGGAGAUUGAGGUCUGCAGCGUAGAUCCUUCGGGGCUAGAUACAUUUAUGCUAAGUUAUAGCUUUUCAUAGACAACUUGUUGACUAUGUUUAGUCAUGUAGCUUACUCGUAAGUGCUACUUUACCUACGCUUAGGAUGUUGAGCGCAUGUCUCUCUCU